CAUUUUUCUGAAGCACUUCUUGGAUGUGUCUAGAUCCAGCCUAAGGAAAAGCUGUAUGUUCUUGAAACGACAGUUUCUAGCAGUGUUUUUAUAGGAAGGAAAAGAGAACUAAAGCAGGCAUAGGCAAACUUGGCCCUCCAGAUGUUUUGGGACUACAACUCCCACGAUCCUUAGCUAACAGGACCAGUGGUCAGGGAUGAUGGGAAUUGUGGUCCCAAAACAUCUGGAGGGCCGAGUUUGCCUAUGCCUGAACUAAAGGGUCAAAUGACCCAGGGCUUUGCAAAUGGGAAUUAAGUCUAAUUCCCACAACAGCUUAGCCAGUGAUAGGCCCCCUCACCCAGCCACCCAGAAUCUCUUCUGGGUGAGGGGAUGAGCUUGGAGGGGACUCGUGCCACCAUUGAUGACGGCAGCUGCUGUAAGAGGCUGAUGACCAGCUCUUUCCCCCGGGAUUAAUAUGCAGAUUGGAUCCACUAUGCCAGUCUCCCCAAUGCCUGAUGAGAGGCCAGGCAUGAGACUGCUCUGCUCCCCACUCUUCACCCCUGCAGAUCCUACCUGCAUGCAGAUUCUACAUGCAGCUCAGAUCCCCUCCUCCACUUCACUGCCUACCAGCCCUUGCUUCCCCCAGGUGACCCGCAUAAAUUGGUUCAGUGGGAUGUGCCUGGGGCCCCGUUCAAUGUCCUCCACCUUGACGCAUCCCUUUUGUUGACUUUGCUAAUACCGCAGGGCUACCAGGAAGCCAAAGGCGGUACAGCUCUCAGCAAUUAGCAGCGAAUGGUGAUGGCUUCACCUUAGCAACACUUAAAACUCCUGUGUUUUUAUGUACUGCCCUGAGGUGGUUCUCUGAGAGCCACUUACAUUUUACAUUAAUGUCACUUCUAGGAAGGAAACAAUGAUCUAAAAUGUUGUAACGCUUCGUUCCGCCCUAAGGUUCAGUGGCGUCCCAUGAUCACCUGGGAUAUUUAAGGGCAAGACAGGAUUGUAGCCAAAGGCAUCCAAGCACUGCACUCGAAAAAGCCACCCUUGCUUACCUUUCAAUAAAAAUAGGGGACACCUUCAAAGAUGCUCCACCAAGCAUUUUCAUCCUUGUUCUCUUGAUGUGGGCUAGAGCUGAUACUGAGUAUUCUGUGGGAUUACACGCAUCUCCAGGUCGGCUAAGCUUGAUGAACUGGCACAGUGCGGAUGGCAAAAGCAGUGACUGUAUGUCCCAGAAUCGUGACUGUAGCUAUUAGCUCUUUGUGUUGGGAGCUUUCUCUUUUCAUUACGUUUGAAUAUCGUAACUGAGAUUGAUUACCCUAAAGUGGGCUGAGGUUGAUGAGAUUACUCUGACAUAUAGAACAAAUGUCGAGUCAGAGAAAGAGGAUGAAAAAUUGGAUUGAUAAAGUUGGAUUGGUAGCUUGUUGCGGCAGUAAUUGAAGUGCCUUGUUGUUGCUGUAUUGUGAUGGGCUUGGAUAAAAUAUGGGCCCUCUUGUCUAGAUCACACUUUUGAACAAUAGCAAACUGAAAAUAAAAAAGAGGCACAUAGACGCCUUCAUUCCAGUAUUUGUUAAGGAAACGUUCUAGUCUUGGCUGUCAAUGUAGAUUCUUGAGAGGCUGUAAUAAAAAAAUAUCUUCAUUGUGUUUUGACAGCAGGAAAGCAGGUUGUCUCACCCCUUCAGAAAAGCAAGAUGUAUCAUCUAUAUACAUCCAUGCUAUUUUCAGAUUCUCACAUGUGAAAAAUCAGUUUAUGUUAACAGUGAAUCUUCUGCAUGUAUACUCAGAAGUUAAGCCUCAAUGAAACUAACAGCACUCAUGCCCAAGUAAAUACCUGCAUAGGAAUGUACCGUAAGCAUUUUAAAAUGCCACUGUACAUAGUAUAUUAUGAGUGUCAAGGGGAAGGGGCAAACAGGAACACAUUCAGCUGUCUUAUUAGUCCCUGUCUACAAUCUGAUGCCUGCAAACUAAAAUAAUUGUGGAUGUUGAAGCAUGAGUUUGGCCAAGAUGUGUUUUUGUGGUCACCAGUUUCAAAAGCACUGAAGUUUGCAGUGGAACAUUUAAGACAAACAAGCAGCUCUGUUGACAGUUCUGUGGUACUAACAUGUCACCCCCUCUUUUGUUCCCUGGCCACAACACAACAAAUUUCUAUGGCCACCAUGGAUCCCCCUAAUGCAGAGAGGCCACCCUGUGACUGAGACCUUUCAACCACCCCUUAACCAGAGGGGAGCCUCAUUUCAAAGUGUGCUCAAUAAAAGACCAAACUUUCACAACUGUCAGCUCUAGCUCUCAUUUAUUCAGGGGUGACAGCAGCCGUGGAGCCCAUAUUUACACCCCUGGAGGUCAGCCUGCAGUAGCUCUCGCCACUGUCUGUGGACCACAGCUCCCAGAAACCCCCAGGAGCAGUCCUUUUGCAUCUACCCAAUACAAUACAAUAAUCUUUAUUGUCAUUGUCUCAUACAGAACAACGAAACUGAAAAAAUCUACAUCAGACAUUCAAAAACCAACAAACCUGCUAUCCCAGCUAUCCCAGCUUGGUUAACCCCCUAAAAACUCUGAUACCCCAUAAUGAAAUACAAUAUACUCCCACAGAGACUACCUUACACUGCGUUUAAAACCAAAAUCACAUUCGGAUAAGAACUGUUUCUCAGGCGGCUAGUCCUAGUCUUUAUAACCCUGUACCUUCUUCCAGAAGGCAGAAGCUGAAAGAGAUCAUUUCCAGGGUGAGCACUAUCUCUGCAGUUUUCUUAUGACACCUGGAAGCAUAGAUUUGAUCCAAAGUGGGAAGAGUGCACCCAAUUAUUCUCUCUGCAGUCUUUACAACCCUGGACAUCUGUGCUGCAUGGUUUUAUUUGGAGGUGACAGGAGCAGCCCCUGUGUAUGUCUGACAUGCUUGCAAGUUGCACAGUGUGGGUGUGGUGUGUGGCACAAGGUGAGCUAUAGUGUUCCGCGUGCCUUGUUUGUGGCUGUGUGGUUGGUGGAGCAUGUGGGAAUGUGAUGUUCAAUGUGUGCUGGUUGGAUUGCCAUGCUGAGCCCUGCUUGGGAUGCCAUCUGUGCUCUGUCCCCUGUUUGUUUGCAUCCCUGGACCGGCAUUUCCGAGUUGCUUCUCGCGAGCUAUCUCUGUGCAACCUUGCAGUUUGUACACACCUGGUGCCAACAGGUAGGGAUGCUGGCUGAGAUGGUUCUGUGGUUUGAGGGCUUGUCUUCCAUUUGUGGGAUGUGAUCCAUGAGAGGCAGUCAAGUUCAACAUUCUUUGUAAUGCUAGAGGGGACAUGCGAGGGAAUGUUUGGUCCAGCCAGUCGAAACUUCCUGUUCCUCCUGGCUGGAGCAUCGUUCCUUUUGCAUGUGAUAGAAGGUGGGUAUGACCUAACCUGUCCAGGUAACGCAGCACCCUUCCUUCUUUUUGACUUCCUUCUUCGUUUGACCAGCUUUUAACUAGGACUGCUCUGCUAGCUCUCAGCUAGCAGAAGCACUGGGAUUAUUCCCCCACAUGGGGUAGAUCCACAUGUACGUAUUUGUAACUAAGUAUACCUUCAGGAAUCCAACUGUGAUUGAACUUCUUUUACUGAUUUUGAAUCUGAUUGUGGUGUCUUUAUUCUUUUAAGAGGGAUUCAAGGGAACUUACCAGGAACGUACAAUUCAAUCUGAGACAGACUGACUUGUAUAAUAAUGAGAAGCUCACACGAACCUGCAACCAGCUAUCUGCUGUGCAUGUAAAAAGGGGAAUGUAACUCUGCUAAGAAAAGGAACUUGCUAGCACAAGUUAGGAAGGAUAUUAAUAAACAAUAUAACCUCUCCUGCCACCCUGAACCUUCCCUUCACCAUUUGCCCUUCCCAGAGCUUCCUGAAUGGACCUACUUCACGUUGGCUUAACUUAAGCUGGUGUAACUUGCAUCACCUUCCUGUGUUUAGACACUCAGCUACAUUGGUAGAGAAAAAAAAUGCUUUAUAUGCAUUAUAACACUGUGACACCAGAUGGUGCUGUGGAGUCCUGCCUUUUGCCAAUGGGCUUUCCCUUUAUGAAGUUUACAACGCGUUUAACUGAUGUGUCUACAUCCAGCCCAGGAUUACAUUGUUAGGAAGAAAGGAAGAGAAAGAGAGGGUUGAAGAAAUAUUGGUGACUAUGAGUGCAGCAAAAGGUCAAACUUAAACAUUUUAGGCAUUUUAUUAACCCUUAACUUCACAGCUCUCUGAGAGACCAACCUUCCCAGCUUUUCUCAAGAAUCAUUCAAACAUCAUCCAGGUAGCUAUAUUUUCCCUAUUUCUUUUAGACCAGUGUUUUCCAAAGUGGGUGAUACCGCCGGGGGGGGGGGGGGCACUGGAACGAUCCAGGGGGGCAGUAGUAGACUCAGGUGUAAUUGGAGGGGUUGAGGGCAGGUUGGUGGAAGCAUAAAGAAAGAAGAGACUUUUGAAAAACCGUUCAUACAUGUUUCAUCUGUUGUUUAUGCUUACUGAUGUAACAUAGAGUUAAAGUCAUCGUGGUUACUUUAUUUUUCAAAUAACACACAAAAUGCCAGAUAUAACUGAUCAAUGGUUUCCAGGGGGCCUCUGAGCAAUUUUCUUUUCUGAAAAGGGGGCAGUGGGCCAAAUAAAUUUGGGAACCUCUGUUUUGGAUAGAUGCCCAAUACGCUGUUUGGAUACUGCAAGUGAUAUGUGUAGUCAGCCUAAGUCCUGAAACAAACGUGAAGAAACAAUUUGGAAAUGCUGUUUUUAUUUAUGCCUCUGUUUGGACUCUCACUGGCCGUAGGACAAUGGACCACUGUCUUCUGUCUGUUUAGUCCAAUAGGGCUUGUGUCUGAAAAUGCACCAGUAUAAUAGAACAGUUUGAACUACUAGCAAUCCAAUUUCUCCUGGAACUUGUUCAAAUCAAGUAUACUCCAUGCAAAGUUAAGUAGGUGUGGUUGUCUUGAAUUUAACAGUAAGUAGAUAAUCACUGUGCAUCAGGGUGUUUAGGUUGUGAAUAGUUAAGCUAUGUGUGCCAAUUGUGUCUAGACCAAACUUUUAAAUUACACAGCGCUGUGUGCCCUGUCGCUUUACUUUGUGUAAAGAAAUAUGUUUCACUAGCAAUUGGUGAAACUUGUGGUGCUCUUGUGCAACAUAAUUCAUGCUUUCACUGAUUGCCUUCAUUCUCUCUCUUUAUAAUACCCCCCAUUCUUCUCUUUGUAUUGAGGGCAUGUAAGAAUCACUGCAGCAAAUCUGCAAACGGAGUAUUCCAAGGAAAAUCACUGCCCAUUUGUCUUAGAAAGAGUACAAAAAGUACAAGCUGUGGGCAAUCGCUGCUCUGCUCUGCUCUGCUCUGCUGUGCAUUGUGCCAAUGUUAGUACAAGCUACCAAAUUCCCCUCCCCAAAACGCCUGUGGGACCAAUGUAAAAUAAAGAAAACAAUGUAUUUAUUCAUUUCCAGUCUUGUGAGAGGUUGAUAUUCAGAACCAAAGAUGGGGUAUCUUGAACCUGGUAUGGGAAAAGAAUUUGGCAUCGCAAGGAUCUCUUCCUUCCCUCUUUAAAGAAAGAAUACUCUUCUAGUCCACAUGGUUGCAGAAAUAAAUCAUAAAUGUCAAACAGUUUCCUCGGAAAGGUCAGAACAGGGACUUUGGAAGAGGCUUCCACUGCGCAGGAAUAAAGAGCGCAUUUGUUUUGCGUGGUCCCCUAUCCCUUCUAGAGGAGCUUAAUUCAUGACUUCAUGCUGUCCCACUUCUCCAGAACCCCUUUCGUUUAUUUUCCUCCACCAGAAAAAUUGUCCCAAGAAAAUCCAAUAUUUCAUUUAUAAUCAGCUAGGCAAACUUUAUUUAUCCAUGCACGGCAUGUGCAAUUUAUUUUAACCUGCAAAACUGUACCACAGGGCAAAUGCAGCCUUGUUCAUAUCUUCCAUCAGGGCCGGCCCACCCAUGAGGCAAAGCGAAGCAACUGCCUCGGGUGGCAAGAUCCCCUCUUUUUCCAUGAUAUAGAUCUUCACUCUUGGCAGGGAAGGCAGUGCCAUCUUGGAUCAACCCUGCCUUGCACCCUACUUUCCUGUGUCCUUUGCUGCAUUUUAAACAUGUCUGCCUGAUAUCCAUGGAAAGGACACAACUUCCUUCUGCUCACACACAAACCUGUCAGCUGCAGUAUGAAAAUGUUAUACACAGUCAAUCUGUUACCUUUGUUGUUACUAUUACCUGCAUAUAUGUGUGUACCUAUAAUCUCCCGUACAGUCUGAGUCAUUGGACUGAAGCCAAUUCUCUUCACAACAGGUGCAGUGAAAGAGGCCUGGAAAUGUUUCAACAGCGGGCGUGAAGAACAGCAAACACGCCAGUCAUUAUCAGCCAAGAAAUUUUGUUUUAGGAAAAUUAAAACUGUACACUCUGGCAA